rnacentral:rRNA from 1 species
AGCGAACGCUGGCGGCAGGCCUAACACAUGCAAGUCGAACGGACCCUUCGGGGUUAGUGGCGGACGGGUGAGUAACACGUGGGAACGUGCCUUUAGGUUCGGAAUAGGCCCGGGAAACUGGGUCUAAUACCGGAUGUGCCCUUCGGGGGAAAGAUUUAUCGCCUUUAGAGCGGCCCGCGUCUGAUUAGCUAGUUGGUGGUGUAAUGGACCACCAAGGCGACGAUCAGUAGCUGGUCUGAGAGGAUGAUCAGCCACAUUGGGACUGAGACACGGCCCAAACUCCUACGGGAGGCAGCAGUGGGAAAUCUUGCGCAAUGGGCGAAAGCCUGACGCAGCCAUGCCGCGUGAAUGAUGAAGGUCUUAGGAUUGUAAAAUUCUUUCACCGGGGACGAUAAUGACGGUACCCGGAGAAGAAGCCCCGGCUAACUUCGUGCCAGCCGCCGCAGUAAUAU